rnacentral:rRNA from 1 species
GACGAACGCUGGCGGCGUGCUUAACACAUGCAAGUCGAACGAUGAAGCUGGAGCUUGCUCCGGUGGAUUAGUGGCGAACGGGUGAGUAACACGUGAGCAAUCUGCCCUUGACUCUGGGAUAACUGCGGGAAACUGUAGCUAAUACCGGAUACGAGACCUGAAGGCAUCUUCGGGUCUGGAAAGAAUGUUGGUCAAGGAUGAGCUCGCGGCGUAUCAGCUUGCUGGUGAGGUAAUGGCUCACCAAGGCGACGACGGGUAGCCGGCCUGAGAGGGUGACCCGCCACACUGUGACUGAGCCACGGCCCAGACUCCUACGUGAGGCAGCAGUGGGGAAUAUUGCACAAUGGGCGAAAGCCUGAUGCAGCAACGCCGCGUGAGGGAUGAAGGCCUUCAGGUUGUAAACCUCUUUUAGCAGGGAAGAAGCGAAAGUGACGGUACCUGCAGAAAAAGCACCGGCUAACUACGUGCCAGCCGCCGCUGUAA